rnacentral:lncRNA from 1 species
UCAUGUCAAUUUAUUUAGAAUAUCAACAAGAGUGUACAUAACUGAAUCGGGAAUCAUUAAGUUUUCAUUUGGUAUCGUCCGAGUACAUAAAUAGGAUUACAAAAUCCAAUAGAUUAAUACUAAAUUGAGCUAACAACUGAAAACAUAAAGAAACUAAAUCUUAUACAAAAUAUAAGAUAACAUGACGUCAGCUCAACUAGCAUAAUCCAAGUAUUUGAACUCCAUGCUUGCAGAUCAUGAUAUCUCGAUCAACCUGUUUAUCUGAAAACAAAUAAGUGGGGGAUGAGAACAGUCACUUCGUCUCAGUGAAUUCCUACUACCCAGUUACUAUUGGUGUCUACACUGGGGGCAACUGAUGAACUAAAAGUUCCUUGAUCCUGAUUGUCAGUCUCUAACAUAAUUUCAUAACAUGAUUUCAUAAACAUAAUAAUAUAAAAGUGUAACACAGAUUAAUUAUCUUCUUCAUUUUAACAUAACUAAGACACUCUGAGGUGAGCCGGUCUCAGAGGUCUGACAUAUCCGUCG